AUUGCUUUGCCCUGCUCCCCACAUGUUUUGUGAAAUUACAAUAUAUAUAUAUAUAUAUAUAUAUAUAUAUAUAUAUAUAUAUAUAUAAAUGAGUACUACAUUCUUUGACAAUUAUAUGGCAGCUGAAGAAUUAGGGGCAUUGAGGAAUGAAGGAUACCUCCAAAUUUUUAUAUUAAUAAGUACUGUCAUUUUUGUACUCCUCAAUACAAUCUUUAGAGAUGCUAAAAUAAAAAUUAUUGAGGAUAAAAUAGAAAAAAUUGAGGAUAAAAUGCAAGCCCAAUUAGAAGAUCUAAAAUGUUUCUUACAGGAUCAAUGGGCAAACACCCAAUCUACCAGAAACAGACCUGUUUCUGAACCUUGAAUGAGGACAUUUCCCUCCCUGACAUAGAGAUGGAAAACACCUUCCCUAUAGCCCAGUUAAUAGACUGCUUCUCUCAUGUAGUGCAAAUCUUGUCUGAAUUUAAUCCCCAAAACCCUUCCCCUGCAAUCCCAGUUUCUCAUGUUCCCUCUCCUACAGAAAACCAAAUUCCAACACAAAGGAGAUCUUGUCCUCCUAGAGAAACCUGUCCUUGUCAAACUGACCCACAGGUACAAAAUUCAACUAGAGGCCUGUUUCCUCUAAGAGAAGUACCUGAAAUAGGACGGAAUGGGGAUGUGGUGACUUUAAGACAUAGGAUACCGUUUACUCCCCAAGAAAUAAAUGAAUUUACACAAAAUAUCCCCACAUAUGAACAAGAUCCUUUUCUAGUAACAAAAAAGAUGGGAGCCAUAUUUUUUCAGUAUAAUUCGUCUUACAAGGACAUUGAGAACUUACUACAGGCUUUUUUAAGUGAACGUGAAAAAAAUAAAAUAAUUGCUCAUGUCAACAAAACCCGGGGGCGUAAUGCAGCACAUUGGCCAUCUCAGGAUCCCGAAUGGGACUAUAACAAUCCUGAGGAUUAUCUACAACUAUACCCUUGUAGAGAGGCUAUCCUCAUGGCAAUGAAGGAAUGUGCAGACAUUACAGAUAAGUGGAUGGAACUGGAAAAAAUUAAGCAAAAGGAAGAAGAAACACCCUCCAGAUUUAUGGAUAGAAUUAUUGAGUUUGGGGACAGAUACUUAGAUUGGGACUUAACUAAAGAUAGUAGUUUAAGACAAGUUAGAAGAAUCUUUGUAAAUAACUCUUGCAAUGUAAUUAAGAAUUAUUUUAGAACACAAUGCCCAAG
rnacentral:lncRNA from 1 species